rnacentral:rRNA from 1 species
UACGGAGGGUGCUAGCGUUGUCCGGAAUCACUGGGCGUAAAGGGCGCGUAGGUGGCCCGUUAAGUGGCUGGUGAAAUCCCGGGGCUCAACUCCGGGGCUGCCGGUCAGACUGGCGAGCUAGAGCACGGUAGGGGCAGAUGGAAUUCCCGGUGUAGCGGUGGAAUGCGCAGAUAUCAGGAGGAACACCGGUGGCGAAGGCGGGUCUCUGGGCAGUAACUGACGCUGAGGAGCGAAAGCGUGGGGAGCGAACAGG